rnacentral:rRNA from 1 species
CAUGCAAGUCGAACGCGAACGGUUCUUCGGAACUUAUUAGAGUGGCGGACGGGUGAGUAUCGCGUGGGAACAUGCCCUUCUGUACGGAACAACCAUUGGAAACGAUGGCUAAUACCGUAUACGCCCUUUGGGGGAAAGAUUUAUCGCAGAAGGAUUGGCCCGCGUUAGAUUAGCUAGUUGGUGAGGUAAGAGCUCACCAAGGCUACGAUCUAUAGCUGGUUUGAGAGGAUGAUCAGCCACACUGGGACUGAGACACGGCCCAGACUCCUACGGGAGGCAGCAGUGGGGAAUAUUGGACAAUGGGGGCAACCCUGAUCCAGCGAUGCCGCGUGAGUGAUGAAGGCCUUAGGGUUGUAAAACUCUUUCAGAUGGGAUGAUAAUGACAGUACCAUCAGAAGAAGCUCCGGCUAACUCCGUGCCAGCAGCCGCGGUAAUACGGAGGGAGCUAGCGUUGUUCGGAAUUACUGGGCGUAAAGCGUGCGUAGGCGGCCUAGCAAGUUGGGGGUGAAAUCCCGGAGCUUAACUCCGGAACUGCCUCCAAAACUGCUAAGCUAGAAUCCUGGAGAGGUGAGCGGAAUUCCUAGUGUAGAGGUGAAAUUCGUAGAUAUUAGGAAGAACACCAGUGGCGAAGGCGGCUCACUGGACAGGUAUUGACGCUGAGGUACGAAAGCGUGGGGAGCGAACAGGAUUAGAUACCCCUGGUAGUCCCACGCCGUAAACGAUGAGUGCUAGGUGUUGGGUAGCAUGCUAAUUCAGUGCCGCAGCUUAACGCGUUAAGCACUCCGCCUGGGGAGUACGGUCGCAAGAUUAAAACUCAAAGGAAUUGACGG